GACGAACGCUGGCGGCGUGCUUAACACAUGCAAGUCGAACGGAAAGGCCCUGCCUUUGUGGGGUGCUCGAGUGGCGAACGGGUGAGUAACACGUGAGUAACCUGCCCUUGACUUUGGGAUAACUUCAGGAAACUGGGGCUAAUACCGGAUAGGAGCUCCUGCUGCAUGGGGGGGGUUGGAAAGUUUCGGCGGUUGGGGAUGGACUCGCGGCUUAUCAGCUUGUUGGGGGGGUAGUGGCUUACCCAGGCUUUGACGGGUAGCCGGCCUGGGAGGGUGACCGGCCACAUGGGGCCUGAGAUACGGCCCAGACUGCUACGUUAGGCAGUAGUGGGGAAUAUUGCACAGUGGGCGGACGCCUGAUGCAGAGGCGCCCCGUUCGGAAUGUCGGCCUUCGGGUUGUAAACCGGUUCCGCCUGUGACGAAGCGUGAGUGACGGUAAUGGAUAAAGAAGCACCGGCUAACUACGUG
rnacentral:rRNA from 1 species